rnacentral:lncRNA from 1 species
AACUUCAUCAUCAGUCAUAUGAUAGAUCCGAUCAGCUUAAGUCCAAUAGUGAUUCUAAAUAAAAAUUUUUUUCUAUCAAUUACACUGCUAUGACCAUAGACUUGUGGACUCAGCUUCUCAAAUCUCAUAGGACUACUUUUUUCUAUCAAGAUUGAUAGAUUCCAUCAAUAUGUACAUGUUGCUCGCAUAGCUCAACCAACUAAAGUGAACAUCCACUAUAAAAAUUCAUGAUUGAAUCAAUGCUUAUGUGUAGUCAAACUACAGUAGUCUUACUGUGAGCAACUAUGACACCGC